AACGAACGCUGGCGGCAUGCCUAACACAUGCAAGUCGAACGAGACCUUCGGGUCUAGUGGCGCACGGGUGCGUAACGCGUGGGAACCUGCCCUUAGGUUCGGAAUAACUCCCCGAAAGGGGUGCUAAUACCGGCUAAUGUCUUCGGACCAAAGAUUUAUCGCCUUUGGAUGGGCCCGCGUGGGAUUAGCUAGUUGGUAGGGUAAAAGCCUACCAAGGCGACGAUCCAUAGCUGGUCUGAGAGGAUGAUCAGCCACACUGGGACUGAGACACGGCCCAGACUCCUACGGGAGGCAGCAGUGGGGAAUAUUGGACAAUGGGCGAAAGCCUGAUCCAGCAAUGCCGCGUGAGUGAUGAAGGCCUUAGGGUUGUAAAGCUCUUUUACCCGGGAUGAUAAUGACAGUACCGGGAGAAUAAGCUCCGGCUAACUCCGUG
rnacentral:rRNA from 1 species